GGGGGCGCACUGGUUUCGACGGGGACGUGGAAGCCGUAGCGGCAGGUCGAGGCGCCGCUGGCCUCGUAAAAAGCGGCACAAAAGUAAUUGCCAACAACGAUUACGACUACGCUUACGCUGCCUAAUAACAGCGAGGCAAUGACCGUUUAACGGUCGCGCCGAUCAGGGCCAUGCCUGAUAACCCUGAUUGGCGACACUUAUCAGGCUGGCGAAAACCGGCUCUCGCCGGGGUUUUUCGCGAGGAGUUUACCGGCGGGAUUGCUGCGUUGUGCCUGGUCAGGGGCCAACAGCGCGGUGAAAUACAUACUUGACCUAAACCUGUAGAUGCUUCGUGUGGAAUGUUCUCGGACGGGGGUUCGAUUCCCCCCGCCUCCACCA
rnacentral:tmRNA from 1 species